GCUGGCAGCUAGCUCUCUGCAACUCUGGUCAUCUAUUGAAGCUAAGAAGGGCUGCUUCCGCUCAGUACCUGGAUGGAAAACCACAUGGGAAAGCUAGGUUGCUGUCGGGA
rnacentral:rRNA from 1 species